UGUAGCACAUCCCCAAUGUUGAUCACCAACGCUCCAUUAACAGGAGGAACAUUUAUCCAACUAUCGCCGUCUUUGCCUCUUACAUAAAGUCCGCCAAUAUCAUCUUGUAGAAGGACAGUGAUUGAUGAUAUAUCAGAAUGAGGACCUACUCCUGAUACAAGUUCAGGUUCAGGACAAGCAGGGUAGUAAUUGAAGCCUAAUAUCAUUGCACCCAUUAACGCGUAUUCUCUUUCUUUGUCUAACUCCUUCACAUUCAGUUUCUUAAGAAGCACUUUUAGCAACUUUCUAAUAAAAGCGUCAGCAUAUUUCAUAUAUUCUAGUGCUUGAUUCCUGCAAAAAAAGAUAGUCAAUCAAGACUGAUAUCAAUAUUUAUAUUCAAACUUUCAAAAAAAUUAGUAAAGUCUAUCGCGGUUCAACCUAUUUCCACCCUGCUUGAACUCUUAUAAACAUUGUACCCUUAUAUACACUAAGCUACAUUCAAAUAGCUCACAUCACAUGACAAACAAAAGAGUAAAUAGUUCAAAUUUCCACUCCAUUAUUACUCUUCAUCUUGUAAAUAUGACUUUGGUCCUUUGUAUACUUGUUUGUACAUGACUCAUAAUUGGAAUAAGCUUCCUGAUGUUUUGUGUGUAGAAAAGUUUACUAAUUAUUUUCUAUGCAAUAAGCACAAAAGGGUACAAUAAACAGUUUAUGAUUUAUAAAGAAAUUCAGAUAUCUUUAUUUACAUUUUCUUCUCUGUUCAUAAACAAUUGUACAAAAACUAAAAUAAAAUGGUGAUUUCUCCAUUCCCGUCAUCUAUUCCAAAAAAUCAAUUCCAUUCUUCACUACCAUUUCAUAUUCAAUCUCUUAAUAACAUAUAGGCCAAAUACUACGUUUGGUCCUUUUACUUUGACAGAAUUCCCAAGUUAGUCCUUUAAGUUUCAAAUAGGUUCUUUUAGUUGAUAAAUUAUUUCACCGUUACCCCUGUUGUCAGUUAAUAAUUAACUAAUGCUAUGUAGCCGUUAAGUUGUUGAUUUGAAUCAAAACGCUGCCUUUUAAAAGCUCUAGGGUGUCAAAAUGUUACGUUUAAUCGCCGCGAAUGAUCAUUCUAGCACUAUAAAUGAUCAUUUGUGACCAUUAAACAUAGUUUUUUGACACCCUCGAGCUUUUAAAAGGCAGCAUUUUGAUCCAAGUCAAUAACUUAACGGCUACAUCAACAUCAGUUAAAUGGAGACUGACAUCAGGUUCAUGAGAAAAUAUCACAUAAAUAAUAAAUUUAAUUAGUAUACUCUAUCACUACAAUUAUUUUACACAUGCGUCUAAUGAUGUCACGUCAAUUAAUGAAUAUAAAAACAGAUAAGUAAUCAUAUUUAUUGACAAGUUGACAACACUUCAUUGGAAGAAUGUGUAUAAUAAUUGUAAAGAGUAUAUUAAUUAAGGUAAUACAUAAAGCAAAUCAUAUAUAGAUAAGGAGAACUAUUACUUACUUGCAUACAACAGGCCAAUAUGCAUGAAUUUUCUCUUCUGAAGUAUACACAAGCUGCAAGUAAUCCUUCCACUCCAACACUGACUCAGCAUGAGGGCUAAAACUAGUGGCCAACCUCACAACUUCAGGAGGUGAAUUCUCUUUCACAGAUUUCUUCUCUUCAACUGGUAAUUCAAAGAACUUGUGGACAGAAGCUUUCAAAUCAUCAAGGACGUUAAUGGGUAUACCAUGAUUCACAAUUUGGAAGAAACCCAAAUUAGUUGCAGCACUAAAAAUUGAAUCUUGAACAUCUGGGUCAUCCCAGUUUGUGAAAUCAAUGAUGGGUAUUGAUUGUUCUUCUGAGUCAUGGGGGAUAAUUUUGCAUGAGUCCAAUCUAGCUUGGAUAGGUUGGAUAUAUUGGUGAGGAAAAAUAGGGAGAUUUAGAUCAGCAAGACCUUUUACACCAUUGGCUUGGUUAACCAAAAAAUCAAUUAGAUUAUUGGGGGUUGACAUGAUUUAAAUAUAGUGGUUGGGAAUUAAGAACUUGGAAUAAGAGCAAGCACUAAACUGAAGCAAGUAACUAGAUUCUGAGUUUGCGAAAGUUAGCAAACAAACAAAAAAAAAAUGGAGUAAGAGUGUUUAUAAUAGCCAUAAAGCCACCUUUGUUGAAUUUUGAAUGACAUUGCAGUAAAGUUUGUGGAAAAAUGUCAGGUUCCGUGUUUGAUUGUGAACGCCAUGAUAAUGAGCAAUAUAUUUUGAGAGAAAACUUUAAAAUUGCUUUUUUGACAAUGAAUAGUUCUUAAGUAAAUUAUACUUUUAUCUCUAAUGGCAGUUAACAACGGUUGUUAACUACCGUUGUGUUCAUGAUAAAUUCAACUCAGUAGCCAUAAUUCCAAACACUCACUUCAUCAUCACCAUCAUCAUCUUUCUCUCAAAUUUUCACUCUCCCUAAAAAAGCACUAUCAAAUCAUCCAAAAAAAAUUUCCACUAAAAUCACAAGUAAGUUAUCACUUAUGCUAUUGUCAUACAUUUUAGUUAGUAUAUGUGUUUAUAUGUUUAUAAUUUUAGUUGUUGUUUAAUUAUUAAAUUUUGAAUUUUUGUUUUUAAUAUAGUUAUGUUGUAGAUCUGAAAUGCUAUUAACAUAUAUUAUGAAUACCUCUUAUAAUGAAGUUAUAUUGCUUAAAUUUAUAAUUUUUUUUCGAAUUUUAUAAAAAAAUUAGGAUUUGAAUUUUUGUUUUUAUUAUAGUUAUGAUGUAGAUCUGAAAUGAUAUUAACAUAUAUUAUGAAUACCUGUUAUAAUGAAGUUAUAUUGCUUAAAUUUAUAUAUAUAUUUUUUAGAAUUUUUAUAAAUUUUUUAGGGUUUGUUUAGGAUUUUUAGGGAUUAUGUCAAAUUUUCUCUACAAGUGUUUGAAUGAGUUUUUCAUUGAUUAUUUUUAAUUUCUAAUUGUAUAGAUUUGAAAAAAUGGCCGGGUGGGUCGACGUUCAUGCACAAUUCAACGGCGGAGAACCUCAGAGGUUGAAGGUUCAGUGCCUUGUUGUAACGUUAAGAGGUCUCAAGGAUGAACUGACUGAAUUCAACCAAGGAGUCAACCUCAGAGACACAAGGAGGGUGGAACACGUUCGGUAUAAACGUCCAACGCUCGACGAGUAAAGAGUAUCAUUCACUUGGGUGGAAUUAACGAACAACGAAAACGUGACGAGCAUGUUUUGGGAGCAAAACAUGUUCCAGUGGAUUGAUAUGCGGGUGACGUUGUUGAGAUCAACUAAAGAUAUCAUCAAAAGUUUGAUUCUGCCAGAAGAUCGUCAUUAGGUACCGAAUGAAUGCACCAUCCAGCUACAACAACUGUCUUCCUUUGAACGGGGUAAUUCAAACUUGCCAAACGACAUGACUCCAAUGUUCUACCGGCAUUCCCAUUGUUCCUAUCAAAAGAUUAAGUUUUUGUUAGGCCGGUUUAAAUGAAGUAAUUGAAGUGUCAAUGAAUGGACCUGGUUCUUUUGACACUUGAAUACCGUCAUUUAAACCAAACCUAACAAGAAUUUAAUCUUUUGAAUGGAACUAUGGGAAUGUAGGUCGAACAUUGGAGUCCUGCUGCUUGGCAUGUUUGAAUUUACCCCAUUCAAAGGUAACACAAUUGUUGUAGUUGGAAGGUAUAAACGUCCAAAAACAACAAUUGUCUUCCUUUGAAUGGGGUAAUUCAAACUUGUUAAACGGAAGGAAUCCAGCAUUCGAUAAACAUCUUGAAUACUGGUAUUGAAGUGUCAAGGAAUGCACCCCAUUCUUUUGACAAUUGAAUACCAUCAUUCAAGAUGCUCAUCGCAAGUUGGAGUCCUGCUAUUUAGCAAGUUUGAAUUUGCCCCAUUCAAGGGUAAGAUAAUUGUUGCAGUUGGAAAGUACAUUCCGAAAUGUAAUGUAAUGUGAUAACGUAUAUAGUUGAAUAUGCAUAAUACAUUUUGUUUUGAAUGGAACAAUAAUUAUCUUAUUUAUUCACUUUUCGAAUUUAUUUAUUCAUUACUCAAUUUUAAUUAGUUGAAUUCACGUUAGAUUUAAUUAGUUUUUAUUCAAAUACGCAAUUAUUCAAAACGCGACUUUAAUCGAAAUUAUUCAAAUGCGAUUUUAAUUAAAAUUAUUCAAAACGCGAAUUUAUUCAAAGUAUCAAUAUGUCAAGCAAAAUGUACCAUAAAAAAAAACAUAAAAAAAGAUUCAAAAUAAUUUGAUAUUACAACCCAUUACAUUUAAUCAUCUUCCACAUACACAAGUCAAUUGGGUCGUCCUCGACAGUCCCUAGGGCACCUGCUUUUGGCUGAGGACCAAAAUAGCAUGUCCUCCCGCUCCUCCUCAACCUCGAAUGAUUAUACACCAGCACCUUCGAAUCCUUCUUUUUGAUGGAUCCAUCACAUGUGAUUCCGUGUCAUGUCAUCGGUGAUUUUUAUUUCUUCUUGUCAUUACCCUCCUUCUUCUUGUUCAACUCAACGUUUCCCUGAUUCUGAGACAUAUCUACAUAAACAAAUCAGCGAUCAAAACCUACAUCAUGACGUAACAAUUCUACAAUAAUUCAUCAAAACCUAAACUAAUCCUAAAAAUUAUACCGUAACUAAUCGUAACAAUUCUAUCACAAAUUCAUAACAACAAAAUUUCAUAACAAACCUAAACUAAUCGCAAUGAUUAUACAACAAUUCAUCUAAUCUUAAAAAUUCUACCAUAAUUUCAUAACAAUUCUAACAAUGUAAACAAUUCUAACCUAAACCUAACAAUUCAAACAACCUAAACUAUCAUAAAAUCAAUAAACCUUUAUAAUCGCAAUUUAAGCAAAAAAAAAAAAAAAAAAACUAAUAAAUCAAUCACACAAAAUAGAAAUGUAAUAGGAUGGUAACAACUUACUUGAUUUUGUGAGCGUAAUUGGCGUUGAAUCUGCAACAAUUGGGAAAAAUGACACCUCUUGAUCUUCAAUCCGCAACUAUGGAGUUUUGGAAACUCCUAUGUUGUUUUGUUCAUAUAACAGAAAGCAACGACAGUUAACUGUCGGCGCAUAGCUUAACGGUUGUUAAUUGCCGCUGGGGGUAAAAGUGUCAUUUACUUGUGUCAAUAGGAAGUAUUCUAUGUCAGAAAAACAAUUUUCAAACUUUUAUGACAACUUUUUUGGUUAGACUUUUAUGUGUUUAGUCUCUGCAAAUAGGGGUUAUUUAAAAAAGACUAAAAUAUGGUUUUAGUCCCUGCAAAUAUGCCUCGUUUUGGUUUUAGGCCCUGGUAAAAAAAAAUUUUGUUUUUGGUCCCUGCAAAAUUUUUUGUUUUUGAAAAUAGUCCCUAAAAAAUUUUGCAGGGAACUUUUUUAAAAACAAAAUAUUUUGCAGGGACCAAAAACUACAAAAUUGGUUCAGUUAUAAUGUGCCACGUAUGCAAAUCUUCACAAAAGUGGGGUUAGGGACUAUUUUCAAAAACAAAAAAUUUUGCAGGGACCAAAAACAAUUUUUUUUUUUAACCAGGGACUAAAACCAAAACAAGACAUAUUUGCAGGGACUAAAACCAUAAUUUAGCCUUUAAAAAAUGGUCUAUGUAUUCUUUAAUCCUGACAUUUUGUCCUACCAAAAUUUAAUCACUUAAAAAUUGGUCAUGUGCCCCAAUUAAUUACUGCAACGUCAUUGUAAUUACAAACGUAAAAUUACAAAAAUACCCCUAUCAUUAGUGAUGUGGUGGCAGUGAUUAAGUGGGGAGAAGGACGAAAGUUUUAGUGAUUAAAUUUUGGCAGGGCAAAAUGCCUCGAUUAAGGAAUACAGGGACCAAUUUUUAAAUGACCCCUAUUUGCAAGGACUAAACAUAUAUAAAAGCCUUUUCGGUUAUACUCACAUUAUAUUUUUACUUUAUUUUAUUAUUAUUAUUUUUUUGUAAAUUUAUGUUGUUCAACGAUUGUUACAGGAAAUGAUUGUUCAAAUAACACUUUGUUGUGAAUUCGUUGAAAAUCACACCAAUAAAAUACUUGAUGUGUGGAACAAAUUAAUAAAGCAACCAAUAUCAAAGUGGGUGAAAAUAAUAAACACAGGAAAAAGUAGAAAAUGCGAGAGAAAGAAAGAGAGAAAAUACGAAAAUUUGUUUACCUAGUUCGGUCUAAUACUAACCUAGUCUGCUGAUGAGAUUAGCCAUCCGUUCCACUAUUAUGAUGAGUAACUUUACAAAAGAGAUAUCAAAGGUUUACAAGAAUCAGUCUUCAAACCUAAUGCUACCCAAAGUCUCAAUCUCUUCUCGUGACUAAGAGACACAAUCCUAAUAGUGUUUCCCAAGGUGAAUCAAUCUCAACCCAGUGUUUGUUGCCAAGAGCACCUCCAAGAAAUCCAAUUUUGAGUCACUCUCCAACAAUCUCCACCUUGACUCUAAAUUAGUGAUGAUGUCAAUUUAACGAUCAAUCACCUUGUUGAUGUCUCCUUGCUUCAUCUUCCCUUGCUUCCACCUACACCAAGUAGCUCUACAAGUUUUCCACCCAACCUCUUCAACCAUCGGAAUGCCUUCCGCCUUCUUGAAUCUUGUAAGUCCUUAUAGGUGGGUUUAAAAUCGGAGUUAGAAUUAGAGUCGGAGUCGGAGAAGAUUACCUCAUUUUUAGCUUUCUUUGUUUGACCCAUGAAGCAAAGAUCAUCUUGAUCCUUGUUUUUGGCAUCACUAUUAUUGGAGGUAACUUCAUCUUCAUCCCAAGCAAUGUAGGCCUUUCUUCCUCUUGAGUUUUGAUUGGGUCCGGAUCUUCCUAUUUCUUUAGCAAGUUCUAGACAUUCAUUCUUGUAAUGUCCUACUUUGCCGCAACCAUAGCAACUAGCCACUUUCUCAUCACUAUCCAAUUUUUUUCCUUUCAUUGAGGCCUUUCUAAAGUUCACUAGAUUCUUGUUAUUGUGCUUUAACCCAUUUAUUUUAAUGUAACCGUUGUACCGCCUAACAUACAUGCUCAUUUCCUCUUCAUUUAUAGCAUCAUCAUCGGAUUCAUCAUCAUUUUGAACCGAAGAGGUAAAGAUGAACGAAGUGGUGCUUAAAGCAAUGGACUUCCUUUCCUUGUUCUUAGAGUCAUCCCCACUUGACUUGAAGCAAUUAAUCUCAUGUUCAUAUUCCUUUAAUUUUCCAAAGAGUGUAAUCAUACUAAGAGCAUCGAGAUUUUAUGAUUUCUUGAUAGCGGUAACUUUGGGCUGCCAUCCCUUUGUCAUACAUCUCAAAAUUUUAUUAGUGCAAUCUUGGUUUGAAAUUGUUUUACCAAGGAUUUGCAACUUGUUUACAAUUUGAGUAAAUCUCAUCUGCAUGGAUGAGAUGGUUUCACCAUCUUUCAUAUAAAAAAGCUCAUAUUGUUGCACAAGGGUAUUAAUUUUUUAUUGUUUAACUUCAUUGGUUCCUUCGUGAAGGGUUUCCAAUGCAUCUCACAUAUCUUUGGAGGUCUUACAAUGAGAUACGGAAUGAUACUCAUUAACCCCAAGAGAGGAGAUGAGGAUAUUUCGUGCCUUCAAAUCGUAUUGGACCUUCUUUUUGUCAUCAUCGCUCCAAUCGGCUUUAGGCUUAUCUUGCGGUUGAAACCACCCGUUGGCCACGACAUCCCACACAUCCAUAUCUACCGAUUGGAUGUGAACGCUCAUCCAUUCUUUCCAAUAGUCGUAAUUUUCUCCAUAAAAGUUAGAUUCUCUAUUAUACGCCCCCUUCGGCUCCUUACUAGCCAUAUGGAUCAACUCUUCCGGUAGUUACCCGUAAGAAGAGACCAAACUCUAUGAUAUCACUUGUUGUUCUAUAUGGAUAGAUGGUUACCAAGCUAGAAGAUGGGGGGGGGGGGGUGAAUAGUGUUUUAAAAGAUUUUCCAGAGUUUUAAUAAAAACCGAUAUUAACAAAAUUGACUAUUGGAUUCGUGCUCGAACAAUCACAAUCAAUGAAUCAAAAAGACAAAUAUAUGUGAAAUAAGAUUUAAUCUUAGAAUUGAGAGAUUCAAGAUUCAAGAUUAAAAUCUUAUUAUAUAAUCAAAUGUUAAUAUUCCUUGAACAAUGUACAAAACAAUAUACAAUUUCAAACCAAACCUAUAUGAACAAAAUUACUAAGCUAUCAAAUCAAAAACAUAAUACAUGUGUAAUUGAAGAAUUGAAUAGAUUUUAAAAUCAAUUGAUCUAAGCAAAUUAUAUGAAACCUAAUUCAACAAAUUAGAUUGAUUUUCAAUGAAAAACAACUUAGAUCAAUACUAGCAAUUAUCCUAACAAUUAUUCAAUUAAUAACAUGCAAUGGUUAAAAUGUAAAGAGGAUAGGAAAAAGAGAUAAUACCGAUAUUUUUAUCGGUGCUGGUAACCUUAGCUUUCAAGUCGAUCAAAAUUGUUCCUUGGCACCUAAGAAAUAGGUGGCAAAAAUGCUUGAAACUUUGCUCCUCUAGGUCUUUCUUUGUAACUCACAUUUUUAGGGAGGGUAACCAUUGUGCAGACAAAUUGGCAGACAUUGGUUUUUCUAUUCAAUCUCAAUUUUGGUGGGAUAGUAUUCCUAGAGAAAUUAUAUGGGAUUAUGCUAUAAAUAGUUGGGUUUACCUCUUUUUAGGUUUUGUUAACCUUGAGGGUCAGGUUCUUGUCCCCCCUCUUAUUUGUUGUUCUUUCUUUUUUUAUUAUCAAUCUAAUGGGACUUGUCAAGACAAGUUUCCUUCUCUUAAAAAAAAAUAUAGUAGCUCUCUCUUUCUCGUCCUCGCUAGAGUUAUGUCUACUCUUCUUGAUGAAGUACGCUUUCACAAAGGUCAUCCACUAUGUAACAAAUGUUGAAUACAAUGUUUUUACAAGAGUUACUUGUAAUUAAAACCUAAUUCUUCAACUCCUAUGUAAAACACUCCCCCAAACUUCAAGUAACCCUUCAAUUUGGUGCUCCUUGAAUCUUCGAAUUUUUGAUUACCCGUGCACCCCUGCGAACUCUUCACUCAAGCCUUCGAUGCUACNNNNNNNNNNNNNNNNNNNNNNNNNNNNNNNNNNNNNNNNNNNNNNNNNNNNNNNNNNNNNNNNNNNNNNNNNNNNNNNNNNNNNNNNNNNNNNNNNNNNAGAAAUGCACACAAAGAAGCCAAGAAGAAAGAUUGCAAGGGUCUCUUUUACAUUCAUCAGUGCGUGCACAACAAGGUGUUUGAGAAGAUUGUUAAUUCAGAUAGUUCCAAGGAAGCAUAAGAUACUCUUGUGAAGUAUUUCAGUGGAGAUGACAAAGUAAAGAAGAUUAGGCUACAGUCAUUGAGAAGACAAUACUAAUUACUUUAGAUGAAGAAAGAAGAUAAGAUAAAAGAUUAUUUCUCAUCUGUUCUAACAAUCACAAAGCAGAUGAAGAUUUGUGGUGAGACUCUUUUUGAUAAAUCAGUUAUGGAAAAAAUCCUGAGAACCCUUCCAUCUCAGUUUGAUCACUUGGUGAUAACCAUUGAAGAAACCAAGGAUCUGAAUGAAGUAAAGAUUGAAGAACUUCAAGGAGCAUUAGAAGCUCAUGAGAUGAAGGUAACUAGUAGGAAAGAAGAGAAAGAUGAAGAACAAUCCCUCCUUGCAAGAUUCAAGCAAGAAGAAUCCAUGAAAGAGUACUGGAAGAAGAAAAAGGGAAAGAAUCAUCAGAAGCAUGGUGACAAGCCUGAAUCUUUAAAGAGUGGAGGUAAAUCUUCUAAGAAUCAAGGGAAGAAAUUUAACAAGAAGAAUGUACAAUGCUUUAAUUGUGAGAAGUAUGGACAUUAUGCUUCUGAAUGCUGGUUCAAUAAAGAUAGAAAUGGAAAGAACAAAGAUCAAUAAGCAAAUGUUUCUCAGGAAGAUUCACAUUCUGAUGAUGAUACAGUCAUUUUGAUACUUGGUAUCUUGAUACUGGAUGCUCAAAUCAUAUGACUGGUAAGAAGGAAUGACUAAGUGAAUUUGAUGAUAGAAAGAAAACUAGUAUGAGAUUGGCUGAUAUCAGAAGUAUGAAAUCACAAGGUAUAAGGAAUGUAACCAUACAAGGCAAAGAUGGAAAUAAAGCAAUGAUUGAGAAGGCGCUUUAUGUUUUUGGAAUGAAGUGUAAUCUCAUAAGUGUAUGUCAACUCAUAGAGAAAUAUUAUUCAGUAACAAUGGAGAAUGAUACCUUGAAUCUGUACAAUCCUGAAAAGAAGCUUAUACUACAGUGAAAUUUUACAAGGAAUAGAACUUUCAAAACCAACAUAAUGAUUAAGGAGGAAAUGUGAUAUAAAUCUUCAAUCAAAGAUGAUGAAUCUGAACUUUGGCUCAAAAGGUAUGAACACUUGAACUUUAGAAGCUUAUGUUUACUGAAAACUAAUAAUAUGGUGAUUGGGGAGUUAAAUGUGAAGAUCGUUGAAAAAUCAUGUAGCAUAUGUUUAGUAGGGAAGCAUUCUAGGUCAGCUUUCAAGUCUGAAUUAAAGAUGAGAGCAAAGCAUGUAUUGAAUGUAGUGCAUUCAGAUAUCUAUGGACCUAUAAAAGUUCCUACUUACAGUGGAAAUAGAUAUUUCAUCACUUUUGUGGAUGAAUACUCAAAGAUGCUAUGGUUAUACUUGAUAAAGCUCAAAAGUGAUGCUUUGGAAGUAUUUAAGAAGUUCAAGGUGUUACCUGAGAAACAAAGUGGCAUGAAGCUUAAGAUUCUUAUAACAUAUGGAGGGGGUGAAUAUACUUCUAAAGAUUUUGAAUCUUACUGCACAAAUCAGGGUAUAAUCCAUGAAGUUACAACUCCUUACACUCCUUAACACAAUGCUCUUACUGAAAGGAAGAAUAGAUAUUUGCUUGAUAUGGUCAGGAGUAUGUUGAAAGAGAAAAAGAUACCUCAUGAAUUUUGGGGUGCAGCAGUCAACACUGCAACUUAUAUUCUAAAUAGAUGUCCUACUAAGAAGAUGAAGGAUAAGGUGCCUGAAGAGAUUUGGUCAAGAAGGAAACCUUCAAUCAUUAAUUUGAAAGUUUUUGGUUCAAUCUUCUAUAAGCAUGUUCCUGAUUCAAGAAGAAAGAAGCUAGAGGACAAAAUUGAAGCUAUGAUUUUGGUUGGCUAUCACAACACUGGAGCUUAUAGAUUGCUUGAUCUACACUCUAAGAAGAUUUCAAUAAUUAGAGAUGUGAAAGUGUUAGAGGAAGAAUACUGGGAUUGGAAUUCAAAUGAAUGCAGUGUGUAUGAAAAAAAUGUUAUCAUUGAAAAUAAGAAGGAGUCUGAUGAGCUUCUCACAAAUGAAGAAGUUAUUUCUGAAGAGGUAUCAUAUGAGGAGCCAACAACUAUAGCCAGACCACAAAGAAACAAACAAAUGCUAAGGAGAUUGCAGGAUUGUCAAGUAACUUGUGAUGAUGAGAUAGGUUCUGAUGGUGAGUUAGUGCAUUUUGCAAUGCUUGUAGACACUAAGCCAUUAUAUAAACUAAAAUCUAGUGGGAAGAAUCAGACAUGGGAAUUGAUUAAACUAUCUGAUGGUAAGAAAGCAAUAGAUGUUAAAUGGGUCUUUAAGUUGAAAUUGAAUCCUGAAGGGAAGAUUGUGAAGCACAAAGCUAGACUUGUGGCUAGAGUUUUCUUGAAGAAGGAAGGCUUUGAUUAUACUGAAGUGUUCUCACCAGUUCCAAGACAUGAAACCAUCAGACUUGUGAUAGCACUUGCAACUAGCAAUGCCUGACCUCUGUAUCAUUUAGAUGUAACGUCUGCUUUCUUGAAUGGUACACUAGACGAAACUGUGUAUGUCACUCAACCCCCUGGCUUCAUAAUCAAAGGGAAAGAAGAUAGAGUUUUCAAAUUAAAUAAAGCUUUGUAUGGAUUGAAACAAGCACCUAGAGCGUGGAAUAAAAGAAUUGAAAAAUUCUUUGUUGAACAAUGUUUUAAGAAAUGUCUAGCUGAGCAUGGAGUUUAUGUGAAAGGGAGUGAAGGAACAAGUUUACUGAUUAUAUGUAUGUAUGUAUGAAGAAUUCAAAUCAGUCAUGAAGUCUGAGUUUGAAAUGACUUUUUAGGUAAGCUUGCAUAUUUCUUAGGCUUGGAAAUUCUCAGAACUACAAAGGGAUUGAUACUCUAUCAAACCAAAUAUGAUACUGAGAUCCAGAAGAAGUUCAAUAUGUUAGAUUUCAACUCAUCCAUCACUCUUGCAUAUGCUAACAACAUAAAUGAAGUAAAAGAAGAAGAUAAAGGUGUGGAUCCAACUAUAUUGAGAAGGCUCAUUGGUUUAUUGAGAUAUUUAUGUCAAAGCAGACUAGACAUAAGUUAUUCAGUUGGAAUUGUUAGCAAGUUCAUGAGUAACCCUCUCAAAACUCAUUUCUUAGCAGCCAAGAAGAUUAUAAGAUACAUACAUGGUACAUUGCAGUAUGGAAUUUUAUUCCCUGAGGCACAAGAAACUGAGCAGCUCAGCAUGAUAGAUUACUCAGAUGCAGAUUGGUGUCGGGAUAAAAGAGAUAGGAGAAGAACUACAAGUUUUUUGUUCAUGCUGCAAGGAGCACCUAUUUCAUGGUCAUCUAAGAAGCAACCAAUUGUUGCUCUCUCAAGCUGUGAAGUUGAGUAUGUUGUAGGCUCAUCUGCAGCUUGUCAAGCCAACUGGUUACAAAAUGUGUUAGAACAGUCGAUGAUCAAGCUUAAGCAACCUAUCAAGCUUCUAAUAGAUAACAAGUAUGCCAUAAAUCUAGCUAAGAACCAUAUUUCCCAUGGUAAAAGCAAACACAUUGAGACUAAAUUCCACUACUUAAGGGAUCAAGUGAACAAAUGCAAGAUCAAUAUUGUCUGAGAUGUGUAAUGCCCUAUUUUAUUAUUUAUUUAUUUUAUUGAGUUUAGAUGUCUUUUUAUAAUUUAGUCGAUUUAUUUUGAUGAGUGAUAUUUUGUUAUGUUAUAUGUUGGUAUUUAUUAGAAAUAUAUUUGUUAUUUGGUGUAGAAAUAUAUAUGUUAUUUGAUGUUGAAAUAUAUAUGUUAUCUGGUGUAGAAAUAUAUAUGUUAUCUGUUGUAGAAAUAUAUUUCUUAUUUGGUGUACAAAUAUAUGUUAUAGAAAUAUAUAUGUUAUAGAGAUAUUUGUUAUAGAAAUAUUUGUUAUUUGUUAUAGAAAUAUUUUAUAUUAUAUAUAUAUAUAUAUAUUAGAAUAGAAUAUAGAGACUUGGAGGGCAGAUUUGGAAAUAAGAGAAAAUAAGUAGGUUAAGGAUUUAUAUAAAAAUGGAGAGUUAGAAUUAAAAAAAAUAAGGAUUACGUGCAAACUGCAUUUGGGAGAAAAAGGGAGAAAGUGAGAAGUCAGAGAAAGAGAAGAGGAGCAAUCUCGUAGAGACCGAUCAUCUAAUCUAAGGUAAGGGUGGGAUUAGCUUUCUCUAAUAAUGGGUUGUAUAAUUCUAAAAAAGGGUUUAACCUUGUAGUUGUUGUUAGUAUUGAUGUUUUGGGAAUUAGGUUUAGAAGUUGUAAUUUGUUGAUUUAAGAGUAGAUAAUCUGAUGAAUUAGGGUAAUAAUUGGUGUCCAAGUUGCAGAUUAAUCAUAGGUUAAGUUUCCUAUCAAAUUUGGGAUUUGGGUGGAUGAAAAAUUGGGUUUUUGGCUGAAAACUGGUCUGUUCCCGCAGUGCUGUCUGUCGCAACUCGCCACAGCGAAUAAAUUUACUCGCCUCGCGAGCUGCAUAGUGACAGCAUACCCUAUUCGUGUUCUUGCGUCUUUUUCACAUGUUUCUGUUUUUAAUUGUCAUUUGGUGUAAACAUGAAAGUUUUAGAUAAUUUCGUUAGCUUUCCAAUGGCUUUGGUUUGACUUGAAAAUGAUUUUUAGUUUUUGAGAUAUGAUGAAAAUACUUCAAGGAGGUCUUAGUGAAAUCUUAUGAAAAUUCAGCAUAACCAUUUCUAAGUUAAUCCAAAACUUAUGGGAUAAUUCCAAACCUCAAAACUAGAAGUACUAUGAGUUCAAUUAAGGUGUUUAAGAGUAUUUAACCUAUGUUGUGAGUUGAUCUUGGGAUAUGAAUGAAAGUUGUUAUUAAGUUAUAGACUUACAGAGAGCCUGAAUCAAAUGAUUAAUGAUUGUUGGUUAGUUUAAGAUAUUUAUAUAAGGUGUUGAAAAUGUAUGAUAUAGAAAUUAUUAUUGUUUAUAUCAUUCAAGUUGUUAUUAUUGAUGUUGCUAUGUUGCAAGAUGUUUAUGUUGUGUUUUCUGCUGUUGUUGAACCAUUAUUGUCAUUAAGUUGCAAGUGUUGGUCUAAGUUGUAAAGUUGUAAGUUGUUAUUCCAAGAUAUUGGAUCAUAUAAGUUGUGAAGUUGUCUAAGUUGUACGUUUUUGAGUCCAUGCAUACUCAUUUGAAGUUGAGGGCUUGAUGCCCUGUGAGCUUUUGCUCUUACGUUGAGGGCUUGAUGCUCUGUGAGCUUUUGCUCUUAUGUUGAGGGCUUGAUGCCCUGUGAGUGUAUUUAUGCUCUUUAUGUUGAGGGCUUGAUGCCCUGGUUGGUACCACAUGCAUGAUUAAGAAGUUGAAGUUGCAUAUGUUGAGUUUAAGUUGUAGAAGUCGCAUUGUCGUUGUCGUUAAGUUGUCAUUUGUCAAUGAGUUGUUAAUAAAGAACUAAGUGAAGUAUUAAUAUUUAUUAAUCGUUGUUGUUUAUGUUGUUAUGAGAUGAUGUUUAUGAUGUGUUGUUUAUGUUGUUAUAAGAUGAUGUUUAUGAUGUGUUGUUUAUGUUGUUAUAAGAAGAUGUUUAUGAUGUGUUGUUUAUGUUGUUAUAAGAUGAUGUUUAUGAUGUGUUGUUUAUGUUGUUAUAAGAUGAUAUUAUGAUGUGAUGUUUAUGUCGUUAUAUGAUGAUGUUUAUGAUCUGAUUAUUAUGUGCUAUAUGAUGUUGUAUAUAAUGUGAUGAAUAUGAAGUUAAUGAUGAUUAGAAGUUGGUUGAGUUAUUAAUGAAGUAUUAUAAGAAGAGUUAAUGUUAUUAAUUGAUGAAGUUUAAGUUGUUAAAUGCUUUUGAUGAAUUAUAUGCUUAUUAUUAUUGAAUGUGAAAUCUCACCCCUUCUGCUUGGAAAUGUUGUCCUCACAAUUGCGUAACUUGUAGGUAAUCAAGAAUAGUUGCGGUCGUGAGCGAAUUCUCUCACGUGUGUCUUAGGUGUUCUGAUACGUAACGGGAUGAGAAUUUUGUUGUUGAUUUCUAUUCCUUACGUAUACUUUUAUGGAAUAACUUUAAGAGAUUUUAUAUAUGUUGAGGCCUUAGUGCCAAAGAUGUUUAAAUGUUGAAUAAAUUCCGUUGCGAUGAAAUAAUUGAUAUAUUGUUGAAUUUGAAGGAUAAAUAGUUAUUUUAUUCUGUUUAUGAUUUUAUGAAAAGAAGUGUGACAUUCCAUUUAUGUUGAAAUACUCUGAUUUAAAUGUGAAAUUUUUAAGUUGGGAAAACGGGAUGUUAGAAGAUGCAUCUGUAGUUUUUUUUAAAGAGGUAUGCAUAAUUUCCUUUUAUCGUAGUAAUUGUGGUCAAUUUUUUCUUAAGAAAAUAGUAAUAAACCAUGUUAGUCAAAAUUGUAAAUAAGCCAAAGUUGAUUAUUUCUAUAUAUAAUAUAAUCAAGUACAAAUAGUUGCACACAAUAACAAAAAAGAAAAUUACGUAUUAAAGCAGAUUUUCAAAGUUAGCACAUUCUCUAGCAAACUUCUUCAGCCCCCGCACAAUUCUCAUGUUGAUUGAAAUAUAAAUAUGUUCCACUAAAUUAUGUAGAUCCAAAUAUUAUUUCGUCGGACCAAUGUUGACUUAAACCAACAUGGCAACAUCCAUGAUGAAUGCAAAUCAUAUUUUUGCAAAUUCAAUAGUUUUCUUCCCAUCAUGAGCUUUGCUGAAGAAAUAGUUGAAAUACUCCGAGAACACUACUUGUUUAUAAUGUGGUUCCUCUCCAUUCUCCAACACUUCUGGCAAAGUACCAAUGACAGCAUCAGGUGCUGGGUUGACAAAGAUUGGCAUGGAGAUCCUAGUUUUGUUUCCAUCAACAACCACUCUAUGCUCUAUACUUUUGUACCUUCCAUUGCUCAUUAUCUGUAGCACAUCCCCAAUGUUGAUCACCAACGCUCCAUUAACAGGAGGAACAUUUAUCCAACUAUCUCCUUCUUUGCCUCUUAUAUAAAGUCCUCUUUUAUCAUCUUGUAGAAGGACAGUGAUUGAUGAUAUAUCAGAAUGAGGACCUACUCCUGAUACAAGUUCAGGUUCAGGACAAGCAGGGUAGUAAUUGAAGCCUAAUAUCAUUGCACCCAUUAAAGCGUGUUCUCUUUCUUUGUCUAACUCGUUCACAUUCAGUUUCUUAAGAAGCACUUGUAGCAAUUUUCUAAUAAAAGCGUCAGCAUAUUUCAUAUAUUCUAGUGCUUGAUUCCUGCAAAAAAAGAUAGUCAAUCAAGACUGAUAUCAAUAUUUAUCAUCAAACUUUCAAAAAAGUUAGAUUCAAAUCUUAAAAUAAGCUUAUCUUAGUAAAUAGAUCAUGCUUGCUCUUGGAUUUUUUGACUAGGUCAGACCUAUUUAUUUAUGCAAAGUCUACCUCAGUUCAACCUAUUAAUUUCCUCCAUAGUUUCACUCUUAUAAUCAUGUCCACCCCCGUUUUUUUUUUCUUUCAAGUAGCCCAGUGGCUAGAGCUCAUCCAAUUUAAUUGUGGAGAAGAGUGUUCGGGGUUCGAAUUCCGACCCCUGCAUAUAAAAUGCAAUAUCCCUACCAACAGCUAAGCUCACGUGGAUAUCAUGUCCACCCGCUUAUAUAGAUAAAGAGAACAAUUACUUACUUG
rnacentral:lncRNA from 1 species